rnacentral:rRNA from 1 species
GAUGAACGCUAGCUACAGGCUUAACACACGCAAGUCGAGGGGUAACGAGAGGAAAGCUUGCUUUCCUUGUCGACGACCGGCGCACGGGUGAGUAACGCGUAUCCAACCUGCCCCCAACUAAGGAAUAACCUUGCGAAAGUAAGACUAAUACCCUAUAAUUUCCUCAGAUGUCAUCUGACGAGGAAUAAAGAUUUAUCGUUUGUGGUUGGGGAUGCGUCUGAUUAGCUUGUUGGCGGGGUAACGGCCCACCAAGGCAACGAUCAGUAGGGGUUCUGAGAGGAAGGGCCCCCACAUUGGAACUGAGACACGGUCCAAACUCCUACGGGAGGCAGCAGUGAGGAAUAUUGGUCAAUGGGCGGAAGCCUGAACCAGCCAAGUAGCGUGCAGGAUGACGGCCCUAUGGGUUGUAAACUGCUUUUAUACAGGAAUAAAGUUAGCCACGUGUGGUUAUUUGUAGGUACUGUAUGAAUAAGGACCGGCUAAUUCCGUGCCAGCAGCCGCCGUAA